GACGAACGCUGGCGGCGUGCCUAAUACAUGCAAGUAGGACGCAGUUGCGAACGGGUGAGUAACGCGUAGGUCACUGCCUAUGAGAGGGGGAUAACUAUUGGAAACGAAAGCUAAUACCGCAUACUAGUAGAUGGACCUGCGUUGUGUUAGCAAGUAGGUAGGAGAAUGGCCUACCUAGGCGACGAUACAUAGCCGACAUUAGAGGGUGAUCGGCCACAAUGGGACGGAGAACCGGCCCAGACUCCUCCGGGAGGGAGGAGUAGGGGAUCUUCGGCAAUGGGGGGAAAGCUGGCCGAGCAACGCCGCGGGAGUGAAGAAGGUUUUCGGAUCGUAAAACUCUGUUGGUAAGGAAGCGGUACUUAACCAGAAAGGGACGGCUAACUACGUGCCAGCAGCCGCGGUAAUAC
rnacentral:rRNA from 1 species